ACGAUUUCCCGUCAGCAGGAAAGCAUGUGCCGUCUUAAAAAGAAAGAGGAAUUACAACGGCCCAAAGGGUCAAAGCCUUGAGCCUAUGCCUCCGCCAUGUGUGUGUCCCUCCCCGCGGCCGGGAGAGCGAGUCAGGGCAACGGCGGAAUUUACUGAAGUUUACUCGGAACCCGUCCCCGAGCCCUGGGCGGCCGAGCAAACAGCGCGCGACGUCCCCUCCCUCCUACUACCAGACUCAGAGGUUGUGGUGGAGAAUUCCCCUGCGUGUGGACUGAAAAACUCCCACAUGGAAUAUGAUGGCCUGGCCCAGCACUGUCAGGGCCGGGGACCAGAGACAGACCUGCGUUUGAAUCUUGGCUGGCUGCUCUGCCACUCCAUAGCAGGAUGGCCUCUCAGAGCUGAGGGGCAUUGGUGGCCUGGGAAGUCCCUGCAUGACUGGCCCCUCAGGGGCGCAGUCCCAGUCCGUGGGCUCAUGUUUGGAAAAGAUUCUUAGAAACAGGGAUUGCUUGGACAAAGGCCAUGUGAUUUAUUUGGAUCACUUCUGUCUGAGGUUUCCAGACAUUGCAGAGUUUGUAAAGGCUUCACUUAACUUAGGCAAUUAAAAACUUGAAGCAGAUUUUGACAUUCUGGUUAGUUAGAGUCUACCUACAUCACCCAGAAAGAAUGUUAUGUUAUAGGUUGCAUUUUAUCUCUCCCUUCUCCCCACCAGAGAGAAGGGCGGGGAAUUUGAGACCAUGUCACCCUUGUUUUAAAUCUCAGACCCAAGAGACAACCUGGCACUUCUCAUGUCUGAUGGCUGGCCCUUCCUGUGGGGCUUUUCACUGUUUACUUGACAGUCCUAGGGUGCACUGCUGUGACACCCUCCCGGCUUCUCCCAUUAAGGUUGCUCUGCUGCAGUCCCGGGGCCCCAUUCCAGAUGUCUGCACAGUGUGUGUGCCCUUGGGAAUUCCAUCCAGGUUGAACACAAUGUAAGGCUGCCCCCUGGAGGUGUGCAGUGCAGACACCUUUACCAAUUCAGUGUGGGCUGGACCAACUCCAGGCAUUAUUAUUAUUAGGACUGCCUGUUUGACACAGUGGGCAAGUGUUCAUAAUUCUCUUUAGUUAAUGAAGAAACUCACACUGCUUAUCAAUCUUUAGUGAAACUCCCAUGCUGGGCAUAUACAUGUCGAUGUGAAGGGAACUAUUCACAGAACGCUGUUGGCCAUGUGUGGAAACUUUUGAGUCUCCAUUUCUUCGCUUAGAAAAUGGGGACAAGAACACUUGCAUUCCAGAGUUUUACAGAAGCAAUGUCUGUAAAAUAACAGUAGGACAGAACAGGCAUUUACUAGAAACUAGCAACAGUUCGGCAUUUUGUUUUGUAAUACAUAUAGGUCCAUGUUGGCUAAUAGUAUCCCCCGUAUUCAGAGUUCAUAAAUUAAACAACUUCAAUUAUCUGAAAUGCAGCUGGGGAGCUGGAAGGAAGCUAAACGAGCCCAUAGGUAACCAAAGAACAGGUCCCCAGAUCAUUGCACCUCACUUAUGGGAAGACUUCUGAAGGAUCAUUGACAGCCAACUGGCCUUAAUAUUUGCUUAUGUCAUUUCCCAAGGUAGGACGGGUUAAAAACACCAGAAUGUAACAAGAAUUCCUUACAAGGAGGAAGCCAAACAACUAACUAAAGAAAGGUAGAAAGCUCCACAAACUAUAAGGUCAGAUACAAAAGCAAAGUAGCAUUUAUUACACAACUAAAGCUUCUUGGAUCCAGCCAUGGGUGGAGGAUGUGAUUGCACCAUAGGCUGGCAAGGAACCAAGGCAUUGGGACUCCAUCUGGGUUUGAAUCUUCACUGCCUUCCAUGGGGCUGACCAUCGGCAUUUUAUUUAACUUCUCUGAGUCUCAAUUUUCUCAUCUGUGAAACUGGAACAAUCUGCAAAGUUAGGUUGCCGUGACUAAUAUCUUAGAAAUAAUGUGACAAUACAAUGUCUUCCUCAGCAAAUAAGUUAAAGAUAUUAAGUUUAAGUUAUUGAAGAUAUUGGUCCCCUUCCCCCGAUGGACACACAUAGAGUAAGGACCCCAGGCCAUUCUGAAAAGAAGAUAAAUAAUGUUUAAUGGUGAGUUGUCAUUUAGCUAGCAGGGACAUGUUUGAUAUAUUUUAAAAGAUUUAACCAUGGAGGUGUCUAAUUUUAAAGAAAUGAGGAAUAUUUUAGGAAAGCAGGAUAAUUAUAUGAAAAAUUCGAUUAUAUGGUAAAGGUCUGAUGUUAGGUCACAGAAAUACAGUGUGUCUUUCUGUGCUGGAUAUUUAUUAAUGGAGUAGCAAGAACUCAGCUAUAUCUUAUAACAAUAAAACUGUUAUCUUAUUUAAUUCUCAUAAAUACCAUCAAAGAGGAUAUUGCAAAGGGCCCAUUUUAAAAGUGAGAAAACGGAGGUUGGGAGCAGUGAUAAGAAUUUGUCUGAGGUAGUGCAACCAGGACUGGGACUCAGUUCUGGCAGCCUUAGUAAUAUGUGCAGGAUGUGGCUGGGGUAAGCUGCUGAGCUCCUCCAGAGUGAGAGGGUGUGAUGGAGUCCCAGAGGGGAAUUUUUGCUUCCUUCCCAGAACUAUAUAGAGCAGGCUUUGCCCAUGGCAGGGGCAUCCCUGCCUGCUUUAUCCCCACCCAAACGAACACACACUCAGUGCUGGUUCCUUCUUGGAGGGGCCCUACUGCAGUCCCUGUCUGUGAGCUCUUACAGAUAGAGGCAGGCAGAUUCUAUUUGGGUCCUUUAAAAUUUCUAAUUAAAAGUUUGGCCCUGUAUCAAAGUGAUAGAUGUUCUUUGUGUUAAAAAAAAAAAAGUAACAGAGAGGUUAAAAAAAAAUCUCAAACUCUAACAAUUGCUCAUAAUAUCUAGCACAUUCAGGUAUAUUUAUUUCUAGUCUCUUACACGUUUGUGGACAUUUGCUUUAUACUACUGAGAUGUUACUGAUUAUGUGAUUUUAAGUGCUGAGUUUUCACUACCAAACAUUAUGCCAUGACCAUUUUCCCAUAUAAAAGUACAAAGCUCUUUAAUUUGUUUAAUUACUAAGUUGCUUCCUUUUCUUUGCUGUGAUAAACCAUAUGAACAUAAA